GGGCCAUUAGCUCAAUUGGGCAGAGCAGCGGACUCUUAAUCCGUUGGUUCGGGGUUCGAGUCCCUGAUGGCCCACCA
rnacentral:tRNA from 1 species